rnacentral:rRNA from 1 species
UACGAGAGGUGCAAGCGUUAUUCGGAAUUAUUGGGCGUAAAGGGCGCGUAGGCGGUUUUGUAAGUUUUUUGUUUAAUUCUCUGGCCCAACCAGAGGCAUGCAAAAAAGACUGCAUAGCUAGAGUGUAAUAGAGAGAAGUGGAAUUUUCGGAGUAGCGGUUAAAUGCGUAGAUCUCGAAAGGAACGCCAAUGGCGAAGGCAGCUUCUUGGAUUACUCUGACGCUGAGGCGCGAAGGCGUGGGGAGCAAACAGG